rnacentral:tRNA from 1 species
GGGGGUGUGUAACCGCUUCACUUGGGAGAGCGCUUGAAUGGCAUUCAAGAGGUCAGCGGUUCGAUCCCGCUUAUCUCCACCA